CUGAACCUUCGGGGAACGUUAACGGCGUCGAGCGGCGGACGGGUGAGUAAUGCCUAGGAAAUUGCCCUGAUGUGGGGGAUAACCAUUGGAAACGAUGGCUAAUACCGCAUGAUGCCUACGGGCCAAAGAGGGGGACCUUCGGGCCUCUCGCGUCAGGAUAUGCCUAGGUGGGAUUAGCUAGUUGGUGAGGUAAGGGCUCACCAAGGCGACGAUCCCUAGCUGGUCUGAGAGGAUGAUCAGCCACACUGGAACUGAGACACGGUCCAGACUCCUACGGGAGGCAGCAGUGGGGAAUAUUGCACAAUGGGCGCAAGCCUGAUGCAGCCAUGCCGCGUGUGUGAAGAAGGCCUUCGGGUUGUAAAGCACUUUCAGUCGUGAGGAAGGUUUAUGCGUUAAUAGCGUAUAGAUUUGACGUUAGCGACAGAAGAAGCACCGGCUAACUCCGUGCCAGCAGCCGCGGUAAUACGGAGGGUGCGAGCGUUAAUCGGAAUUACUGGGCGUAAAGCGCAUGCAGGUGGUUUGUUAAGUCAGAUGUGAAAGCCCGGGGCUCAACCUCGGAAUAGCAUUUGAAACUGGCA
rnacentral:rRNA from 1 species